UCAUUAAAAUGUGAAAUGGCCAAUCUGCUCUGAUCAGACUGAUACCGUCAGAUCUCAGGAGCUAAACAGUGCAGGACCUGGUUAGUACUUGGAUGGGAGACCUCUUUGGAACACCAGUGGCUGUGUGUGUUUGUCCAGCUAAAACUGGAGUUGCAUCAAGAAGGGCAUCAAU